UUUUUAGAUUAUCAAAAGAAAACAACUUACAAAUAUUAAGUAGAAUAAUACUCUCACGAUAACUAUUAAAAAAGAGAUAAGUAAUAUUUUCAUAUAUUUUUAACAAAGAAAAUUAUUGUGAACCUACUGUGAAUAACCAAUAAUAUUCUUAAAUUUCGCAAUGAACUGAUUGGUUGAAACAUGUUUGAAGAGGAAAGUAGUAGUGAUAUUAACGAAACAUUGAUUGAAGAAGCAUUAACAAACAUUUGGAAAAUUACAUUGAAAAUAAAGAGAGAAUUGGACAUAAUAAAUGACCUUGUAAAAGAAAAUGGAAAUUUCUGCUCAGCAGUCAUACAUACAAACCAGAACUUAAUGAAAAUACUUGAAGAAAAAGGUAUAGAUUUAUCUGCAAUUGAAGAAGAAAAAGAGAAUAAUGAAGAUAGUAAUAUUUUGGAGAGUGAAAAUGGAUCAGAUAUUAUAAAUCCUCUUGUACCAGUUAUAAAUAGAUUUUCCAAGAUUCCAUAAAAUAGCUAAUAAUUCAUUCUAAUAAAUAAUUGUAUUGUAA